CCCCUUCUUUCUCUAGGAUUCGUUCCUGUUUCCUGAAGAGCCUGCGGCAGGACUUUCCUGUUGUGAUGUCGGGGGAUCUCUAGACUAGCAUUUGCAGGUCCUUCAAGAUGAUAAGGUCCGGAGAGAGAGAUCGACGACAGAGGGCUUGCAUCACACAUGGGAACAUGGGAAGGCUCAAUUGCAAGUAGUUCCAAGUAACGGAAGAAAUAAAAGGUCCAAUUCCUCAUUUAGCCAGGCAUGGAAGAUUGCCACUAGUUUGAGGCCAGUCUGGGUUACAGAGUGAGACCUUGUCUCAAAAACAAACAAGAAACAUGAACCCAGACGGGCAGGAACUAUGGACUUGUGGAAGGAGCCCUGGUCAAGCAUUCAGCAGCUCCACACGGUUCAGUGCCAUCAGAAGUGCCAUAAAGAUCUGCAAAGACGAGAUGCCCCCAUGUUCUCGUUUUCAUCGGCUUGGAGAAGGACUCAAGUGAUAGUGACCCUCAGCUUUGAAGGACUUGAAGGAGUUAGGCAGGAAGAGAAAAGGAGGAAAGACAUGCCACCCCCACCCCCCAGACAGCCCUGAACACAAAAGCUGCCCUGCUGCACUCAGAGAACUGAAAACAGUUGAACCCAGCAGGAGCGCUUGGUGUGGGAGCCUGUGUCCACAGAAGAGAGUGUGGGUUUGGACUCUGACCCGCCUCGUGAGUCACGGAUUUCUCAUUGUCCUGAAGACAAGGCCUCAGUUUCUCAGAAGAGAUUAGCAGUGACCUGCUCAAGAUGGCUGCACACAGACAAGAGCUGAUGGCGGAUCAGCUCUGCCAGGGCCCAAGCAGAAGCUCCGGAAACCAUGCACUUUUUUGUUUAAGACCCUGUGAGUGCUAGAGCCACCCAAAAUGAGCAUUUAUUCCCUCUUGCUGAACUUUAUAGCUAAUGAUAUCCCUGGCUCGUCUUAAAGUCAGCAUCAGAAACCCGCCAUGUUAGCAUCACAGAAGUCCUGUCUCCCUUGAGACCUCCUGACUUGCUUCCUUCUGCUGGAACUUCUUCCCUCUUUUCAUCAUGGUAACUUACGCAUCCAGGUCUGGACGCUUCAAACCCAGCUUCCCCUACCCUCUUGCAUUGGCUUAGGUUAGGUUUAAAAACCAGGGCGUGCUUUUUAGAGCGGAGCUCCUUUUCUGGAGUCUUAGUGUAGCCUCUUAUUGUCUGCCCUUGAGAGCAGGGGUUGUAUUGAGUUACUUUGUAAACUCUUUGUCUAGAUAUUUAAUAGGUAACCCGGUGAUCAAAGAACCAAAUGAGUAAAUGGAUGGACAAAUAGAUACGUUAAGAAAUAAAGCCUGCGUUUCUGAGUGCC
rnacentral:lncRNA from 1 species